AUCGGGGUUGCGGACAGUGCCUGGUGGGUAGUUUGACUGGGGCGGUCUCCUCCCAAAGCGUAACGGAGGAGCACGAAGGUGGGCUAAUCACGGUUGGACAUCGUGAGGUUAGUGCAAUGGCAUAAGCCCGCUUGACUGCGAGAAUGACAAUUCGAGCAGGUGCGAAAGCAGGUCAUAGUGAUCCGGUGGUUCUGAAUGGAAGGGCCAUCGCUCAACGGAUAAAAGGUACUCCGGGGAUAACAGGCUGAUACCGCCCAAGAGUUCAUAUCGACGGCGGUGUUUGGCACCUCGAUGUCGGCUCAUCACAUCCUGGGGCUGAAGUCGGUCCCAAGGGUAUGGCUGUUCGCCAUUUAAAGUGGUACGCGAGCUGGGUUUAGAACGUCGUGAGACAGUUCGGUCCCUAUCUGCCGUGGGCGUUGGAGAAUUGAAAGGGGCUGCUCCUAGUACGAGAGGACCGGAGUGGACGAACCUCUGGUGUUCGGGUUGUGUCGCCAGACGCAUUGCCCGGUAGCUAAGUUCGGGAUCGAUAACCGCUGAAAGCAUCUAAGCGGGAAGCGAGCC
rnacentral:rRNA from 1 species